CGGCCAGCCCCGAGCGGCUCCUUCAGCCCCUGAGAACUUUAAGCCCCACUGUGUGAGACAAAAAGAAAAGUACAUGGGCCACACAUGGCCCUCGAAGACGCCUGGGGGAUCAGCAACCACGUACUUGCGGGUCCUGCAGAGGGAGCCAGGCAAGAAGGAGCAACAGGCUGGUCACGCAAGGGUGGUGUCAAGAGCAGAUCCUGGGGAUACCCCAAAGCAGACAGGGUCUCACUAAGGAGGCCAGGCUGGCCUGGAACUCUUGAUCCUCCUGUCUCAGGUGGGUGUCACCUUGCCACAUUUCCACCUUUAGUCUAAUGACAUUCUUGCUAAAGAAUCAGGUGACCAGAUGUUACCUGGGGUGGAGGAAGAGGGGAGGAAUUUGGUUAGAUAGGAAGGGUGAUCAGAUACUGAAGUGGGGGGAGGUUGAGCCCAAAGGGCUCUUGGGACCCACAAGGAGCCUGUGGUUGAGAACCAUGCAACCAUCAGCUGCUCAUCCGGGUUCAAACUGCUGUUGAUUUUGGGUUAGGAGUCACACCCCAUGCCCGGCGAGAGCUCAUGACAUGACGUGUUGCUGUGGUUCAGGUCAGGAGGUACCCCCAGAAGUCUGUGUGUUCAAGGUUGGUCUCCAUCAUGGUGCUAUUGGGGGGACGUGGUGGAGACUUUAAGAGGCGGGGCUUAGCUCCUUGGGGGCGUGGCCUUGCCUGGGUCAGGGAGACUCUGGCAACCCUUCCUCUCUUCUUCGCUUUCUGGCCAGCAGUGAGUGAUUUGUAACAGGAGCUCAAACUGCUUUUGCUGAAAGGCACUGACUCCUUACUUAGGCCCAGGAGUUAACUAAAAACAGGAGAAGCUUGGCUUCCCUGCCUCCAUUUUGUGUCUGUCUAUGCCCUAAGCCAGUCUCUUUGCAGUUACUUUGCAAUCACCCUGGAUUCCAGAAAGACAGGUAACAGCUUCAUGGCAAGGGAGAAAAACUACACCCAACUGUAGACCUUCCUCAGGAUGGACCACCUGCGGGGCUCUGCUCGUAGAGCAAGGACUGAGAUACUGGUCAGCCAGAACACACCUGGGACUGGGACUGUUUAUUUAUACCUUGUCCCUGUCCCCAGUUGUCUAUUUAAACCCAUAACUCAUGUCUGUCCCCCGAAGAUGGCUGAGGAUGGACUGAGUGCUUACUCUGUCUCUUCCCACAGCGUGUUCCGAGCUGGGUAUAAACUCCUUUCUCUGUCUUCACCAUGCCUUUUUAUUUGAUGUUUAAGGGGUGGGUGGCCGGACCUGGCAUGUGGGAUCUCAGGAGUUUGGGUCUUGGGUGCAAAAGUCCGGUUUCACUUUCACUCUGCCACAUGCUUCGGCCAUGAUGCACUGACGUGUCACGGGGCCACCUGACCAUGGACUGGAGCCUCAGCCACCAUGAGCCCAGAUUAACCUUUCCUCUGUGAGCUGAUCGCCUCAGGUGCUUGUCACCAUAAUGGACAGCUGACUCACACACGCAUCUGGGUACUCUAAGAAGACUCGGGGUUGGGAGGGGGAGCUCAAGUGUGACAUAUUUGAUGCAUUGUAAGAACCUGUGUAAAUGCCACACGACAUCCAGCACGACAAUAAAAAAACAAAGUCUCAGGGCUCCAAGGAGCUUUUGAGGAAGUGGAUUAUAGUCAUUGAUUAUAUUUACCACACUACCAAUUAAAACAGAAAAAAUUAAAGCAUUCAUUAACAUUUAAAUAUAAUAUGUAGUAGUUAGCCUAACCUGACCUUUAAAAUGAAAAAUAACUAUUUUUCAUGAAACUGUUUUUAAAGCUAUUUAAAUAAAUAACAUAAGGCAAUAUAAAAUAAAUAAGUAUCCAUU